UCUUCAGUGAGGUGCAUCCUUACCUGUUACUCCCUACCAAGGAGUAUCAGAUCAUGAUGAAUGGGGAAUCAUGAGAUAUGAUUAAAAUCUCCAUCUUAUAGGGAAAGCAACACCCUAUUAGAUCCAUUCUGAU
rnacentral:snoRNA from 11 species